rnacentral:rRNA from 1 species
GGGCUUCAACUUCCAGGUCGCAAUGGUAACUGGGGUACUUGAGUGCAGAAGAGGAGAGAGAAAUUCCACCAGUAGCGGUGAAAUGGGUAGAUAUGGGGAGGCCCCGGCAGUGGAGACGGGGUCUCUCUGCGCUGUAACUGACGCUGAGGCGAGAAAGCGUGGGGAGCAUACAGGAUUACAUACCCUGGUAGUCCACGCUGUAAACGAUGAAUCCUAGGUGUUAGGGGUUUCGAUACCCUUGGUGCCGAAGUUAACACAUUAAGCAAUCCGCCUGGGGAGUACGGUCGCAAGAAUGAAACUCAAAGGAAUUGACGGGGACCCGCACAAGCAGUGGAGUAUGUGGUUUAAUUAGAAGCAACGCGAAGAACCUUACCAGGUCUUGACAUCCCUCUGACCGGUACAGAGAUGUACCUUUCCUUCGGGACAGAGGAGACAGGUGGUGCAUGGUUGUCGUCAGCUCGUGUCGUGAGAUGUUGGGUUAAGUCCCGCAACGAGCGCAACCCUUGAUCUUAGUUGCCAGCAGGUUAAGCUGGGCACUCUAAGGUGACUGCCGGUGACAAACCGGAGGAAGGUGGGGAUGACGUCAAAUCAUCAUGCCCCUUAUGACCUGGGCUACACACGUACUACAAUGGCUGGUACAACGGGAAGCGAAGCCGCGAGGUGGAGCCAAUCCUAUAAAAGCCAGUCUCAGUUCGGAUUGCAGGCUGCAACUCGCCUGCAUGAAGUCGGAAUUGCUAGUAAUCGCGGAUCAGCAUGCCGCGGUG